UUCAACGGCCGCGGUACCCUAACCGUGCAAAGGUAGCAUAAUCAUUUGUCUAUUAAUUGUAGACCAGUAUGAAGGCAACAUGAGGGCCUAUCUGUCUCUUAUAAUAAAUCAAUUAAACUGAUCUUCCAGUAAAAAAGCUAGAAUCUCACCAUAAGACCAGAAGACCCUGUGAAGCUUAAACUAAACUAUUAAAACAUAUAAUAAUUACUUUUGGUUGGGGCGACCUUGGAAAAAAAAAGAACUUCCAAUAAUCAACAUAUUAAACCACACAGGCCCACAAGCCACACAUCAAUGACCCAGCACAGCGGAUCACUGAACCAAGUUACUCCAGGGAUAACAGCGCUAUCUUCUUCAAGAGCCCAUAUCAAAAAGAAGGUUUACGAUCUCGAUGUUGGAUCAGGACAUCCCAAUGGCGCA
rnacentral:rRNA from 1 species